AUUGAACGCUGGCGGCAUGCCUUACACAUGCAAGUCGAACGGCAGCACGGGUGCUUGCACCUGGUGGCGAGUGGCGAACGGGUGAGUAAUACAUCGGAACAUGUCCUGUAGUGGGGGAUAGCCCGGCGAAAGCCGGAUUAAUACCGCAUACGAUCUACGGAUGAAAGCGGGGGACCUUCGGGCCUCGCGCUAUAGGGUUGGGCGAUGGCUGAUUAGCUAGUUGGGGGGGUAAAGGCCUACCAAGGCGACGGUCAGUAGCUGGUCUGAGAGGACGACCAGCCACACUGGGACUGAGACACGGCCCAGACUCCUACGGGAGGCAGCAGUGGGGAAUUUUGGACAAUGGGCGAAAGCCUGAUCCAGCAAUGCCGCGUGUGUGAAGAAGGCCUUCGGGUUGUAAAGCACUUUUGUCCGGAAAGAAAUCCUUGGCCCUAAUACGGUCGGGGGAUGACGGUACCGGAAGAAUAAGCACCGGCUAACUACGUG
rnacentral:rRNA from 1 species